GACGAACGCUGGCGGCGUGCCUAAUACAUGCAAGUCGAACGCCGUUGCGAACGGGUGAGUAACGCGUAGGUAACUGCCUCAUAGCGGGGGAUAAAUAUCGGAAACGAUAGCUAAUACCGCAUACUGUGAGAUGGACCUGCGUUGUAUUAGCUAGUUGGGGAGGUAAAGGCCCACCAAGGCGACGAUACAUAGCCGGCGUGUGAGGGUGAACGGCCACACUGGGAAUGAGACACGGCCCAGGCUCCUACGGGAAGGAGCCGUAGGGAAUCUUCGGCAAUGGGCGGAAGUCUGACCGAGCAACGCCGCGGUAGUGAAGAAGGUUUUCGGAUCGUAAAGCUCUGUUGUGAGAGAAGCGGUAACUAAACAGAAAGGAACGGCUAACUACGUGCCAGCAGCCGCGGUAAUUC
rnacentral:rRNA from 1 species